GCUCGAGUAGCUCAGUGGAAGAGCAGUGGCCUUCUAAGCCAAAGGUCGUAGGUUCGACCCCUGCCUCGAGCACCA
rnacentral:tRNA from 1 species